AAUAAGAAAGUGGAAGUGGGUCUCUCUGUGACUAUGUCCAGUCUUCGUCGUUGGGCAUCUUUUCUCUUUUUUUUUUUAAUUAGCUUUUACAAAAGCGUCAAAGACGACACCAGGAUAAAAUGGAAAAUGCAGAGAAUAAAAUAAAAAGAGACACUUUUGUUUCUCUGAAUCUUCUUCUCUCCGAAUAACCAAAAGCUGCUUACUUUCUUUCUCUCUCUCUCUAUCUUUCAUUCACGCCAUCAUCGUUAAGAACCCAAAGAGUGCAAGAAAAAGAAGGAUUAUUUGUUAGACAGUGUCCCGGUCUGGUCUUUCUUUUGUUGGGACGACGCGCUAUUACCUGGCGUUUGAAACACACGCUUUUGGCGCGAGUUGUGUUAAUCGUUGUGGUGGGGCCCUGGUCCUUGGCUCCAUAGAUUUUCAUUUUUUUACCUUUUUUUUCUCUUUUUUUUUUUCACAUUAAUAUUUGGUUUGGAUCUAAUCAUGAUUCCUUAACCACCGUUAUCAUAUAAAUCGCUCUGUUUAUUUC